AGAUUGAACGCUGGCGGCAUGCCUUACACAUGCAAGUCGAACGGCAGCACGGGAGCAAUCCUGGUGGCGAGUGGCGAACGGGUGAGUAAUACAUCGGAACGUGCCCAGUAGUGGGGGAUAGCCCGGCGAAAGCCGGAUUAAUACCGCAUACGACCUACGGGUGAAAGCGGGGGAUCGCAAGACCUCGCGCUAUCGGAGCGGCCGAUGUCAGAUUAGCUUGUUGGCGGGUAAAAGCCCACCAAGGCAACGAUCUGUAGCUGGUCUGAGAGGACGACCAGCCACACUGGGACUGAGACACGGCCCAGACUCCUA
rnacentral:rRNA from 1 species